UCGACUAAGAGAGGAACAGACGGUGUUUUGAAAGCGCUGGCCUUCACAGUGCUAUGAACAGAUGCGCAAGUCAACCGACAUAUCGACGUGGUUAGCUGUGGGUCAAUUCAGGAUAUACAUUCCGCGAAUACACGACGCAUUCUUCUGGUUCGGUGUGGCCUCUUUUCGAAGAUGGCGUCUGUCAUGAUUAACCUCCAUCUGCGGAAUUUAAUCGAUUCAACACGACAUUCUUAGCUCUGAAGACUAAAUCUUCGAGAUUAAAGGUUAAAGAUGGACUUCCCUAAGAAUCUCUCUUCACCAUCUCUUGCUGGCAAAUAAUCCAGAACGUUUUCAUUACUGAAAAGUCUACGGCGGACAGAAACUGUCAAUUUCACAGGCAGUGGUAGUAACUUAUUAGUAAAUUUCGAUAAAUUUGCCGGUGGGCAACAUACAGGCCGGUGGGCAACAUACAGGCCGGUGGGCAACAUACAGGCCGGUGGGCAACAUACAGACCGGUGGGCAACAUACAGGCCGGUGGGCAGCAUACAGGCCGGUGGGCAACAUACAGGCCGGUGGGCAACAUACAGGCCGGUGGGCAACAUACAGGCCGUUUGCACAGGGCGGAGAUUCAACUCACUUUUCAAGCCACGAGGGAACUUUAUUAAAAUAAAAAGGAAAGGGUUACCAGAUUUUUUAAAAAUAAACUGAAGUUAGUUGGAGAAUAGUACCCAUAUUUAUAGAUACUCUACAGAGAUUUUUUUAACAUGUUAACUUGCAAUCCGACUUGAUAACGAAAACCAAUGGACUGCGCGCAGAUGAAGUCACUUAUCCUGGAGAUUUCAAAUAUCAAGAUGAAAGGCAACCGAGGUUUUCUGUCAACUAACAAUGGACUGGGAGGCUCACGUUCUCUUCCUCUGAAACAAGACCUAAAUCUCUUUUGUCUUCAAGAUGAACUUUUUGCAGUGGUCAAUCGAAAUAAACGCGGCGAUGUGGACAGUGGAAAAAUUAUGCCAGCAAACUAUCUUUAAAUAAGGCGAUACAAUUAAAUGCCACAAAAAGACGUGGGAAGCAAAAGUAUCCCAAAGUUUGACGACCAAAGUAAUUCUUGGUUAGUUAAAAACCGUAAAUUGUCUCUUAUAACCACUAUUGAUCUGUACAUGUAAAUAGGGCUAUACAACUAA